GGUGCGUUUGGGGGGCUUAUUAACAGCGGUGGCGUUUUGCUGUAGAAACCCGCGAUCGGCGUUUCGGUCAAGCAAAAGACAUUUGUUGCCCUCGCUCACGCCCUCGCUCUCUGCCCUAAAAAUCACUAUCUCCUCUCCUCCUCCUCUCGCACGGUCGGAGAACGGGCGGAGCACGCCUGCGCCGAAGACUCGCUAUCUCAUCUCCUCCUCUCGCACGGUCGGAGAACGGGCGGAGCACUCCUGCGCCAAAGAUUCGCUUUGCUAUCUCUUUUCCUUCUCUCGCACGGACGGGGAACGGGCAGAGCACGCCUGUGAGCCAAAGUCUCCUCCCCUCCUCCGACUCACCUGCGUUCUGCCCCCAUUUCUCUCGGCUUGAGCAAGAGAUCGAAUCGCGUUUGAAAACGAGUGAAGUCUUGGCCUAGUUGAUGCUAUAUCAUGACAGUAAAUUAGUUGUAUCUGAUGAGCUUGUGUGCAAGUAUGAAAGAGGUCGAAGUAUGCCUAUUUGUGUCCUGCCACAUACUACAUGUAUGAAGAUGAAAGAAUUAAUUAUGCGAAGCUUAACAUAUGACUCAUGUGUGCAUACAUAGAAUCUAAUAUAUCAUUACUAAAUCAAUGAUGGAUCUGUUACAACUCAUGUCGAUAAUGAUGAGCUGACUGUGGUUGUUUUAGAAGAAGCUUCAAAUAAAGUUUUAAUGAUAUAUGUCGAGAUUGUUCCAACUCAAAAAGAUGAUCAUAGCGUUGAUCACAUAAUAUCAGAAUCAUCCUCAAACAUCGUUGGCAUCUAUUUUUGAUGGAGCACAUUGGAUGUCCUUCUGAGCAAUGUUACAUUCUUACGCAACUUCCCGACACUUGAGAGGAGUAUGUUGAGUCUUCAGCAGGUACGUCGUGCGCCAGAUUGAGGGUCUGUCACAUUCUGAUUGUGCUCGGAAGUGACAACCGUCGGUAUAACACUUGAAGCGGAUUGGAGCUGAAACGGGGUGAAACAUAGGUAAAACGGAAGCAAAUGAGGGUGCUACCAGACUGGCUCCUAGGCGCCAGUCUCCACCCACAAAAUAGAGAAGAUGGCGCCUAGGCGCCCGAACUGUUCAGGGGCAGUUUCUGCACGCCCUAAGGAGUUAUUUGAGGGAUCUAGACGUUUGAAAAAUACUCUUUGACAUUUCUAAAUCCUGGAUUUCUCCAAGAAGGUUGAGAGGUCGUAAAUAGAAGUAUGAAAUGUAGAUUUUUACCUUGUAUGGAGAGAUUGGUGAGUGGAUUUUGAGAGAUAUCUUUAAGGGAUUGUAUUAGCUUUGCAUGGAUCACCGAAAGACUUUGUUGGAGGGAUUUUCAUCUUUCUUUCAGAGAGAAAAAUCUAAGCCAUGUGUUUUUUAUUAUCUUGUACUUGUUGUAAACAUUUAUCUAUGGAUUUUCUUUGAUUUAAUGAAG